rnacentral:rRNA from 1 species
AGCAAUCCCCCGGUAGGGUGGCGAACGGGUGAGUAAGACAUGGGAAUCUGUCCCGGAGAUGGGGAUAUCCUUCCGAAAGGAGGGUUAAUACCGAAUACCGUCCGGUGGACGAGAGUCCAUCGGGGAAAGGGAGGCCUCUGGCAACAUGCUUCCGCUCCGGGAGGAGCCCAUGGCCCAUCAGCUAGUUGGGAGGGUAACGGCCUACCAAGGCGAAGACGGGUAGCUGGUCUGAGAGGACGAUCAGCCACACUGGCACUGAGACACGGGCCAGACUCCUACGGGAGGCAGCAGUGAGGAAUUUUGCGCAAUGGGGGCAACCCUGACGCAGCAACGCCGCGUGUGGGAAGAAGGCUUUCGGGUUGUAAACCACUUUUGUAAGGGACGAAGUCCCUUCGGCAAAUAACCGAGGGGGAUGACGGUACCUUGCGAAUAAGCCACGGCUAACUCUGUGCCAGCAGCCGCGGUAAGACAGGGGUGGCAAGCGUUGUUCGGAGUAACUGGGCGUAAAGGGUCUGUAGGUGGUUUUUCAAGUCUUUGGUAAAACGCCGUGGCUCAACCAUGGUUUGGCCAAGGAGACUGGGAGACUCGAGGCUGGGAGAGGGAAGCGGAAUUUCUGGUGUAGCGGUGAAAUGCGUAGAGAUCAGAAAGAAGGCCGGUGGCGAAGGCGGCUUCCUGGAACAGACCUGACACUGAGAGACGAAAGCGUGGGGAGCAAACAGGAUUAGAUACCCUGGUAGUCCACGCCCUAAACGAUGGGAACUAAGUGUGGGGAGCAAUCCCCGUGCCGCAGCUAACGCAAUAAGUUCCCCGCCUGGGGAGUACGGCCGCAAGGUUGAAACUCAAAAGGAAUUGACGGGGGGCCCGCACAAAGCGGGUGGGUGCAUGUGGGUUUAAUUUCGACG